UUUUGGAGAAUUAAUAAACUAAUUUGCUGUAUUUUAUUGUGUUUGUGUUUUUGGGGUUUGGUUGGUUUUUUUCUUAACCAAAGAAAAAGUUUAUGUUUUUCACAUUCCAUUUUUAUGUUUAUGUUUUGAUUGUUCUUCUUAGUUUUUCUGAUCUUGAUUGAAAGGGUUUUUAUAGAAAGCCUGAAAGUCCCAAAUUUUGGAAAAAAAAAACAUAGAAAUCUUUAAUUUUGGGGCCAAAUUUGUUAACACUGUUUUAUCCAGAUUUGAAUGGAGGCUAACAUGAAGUUGAAGAACUUUGGAAGUAACCAACCACUACCAGCUGACGGCGGUGGGAAUACUCUGUUAAGUAGACAGCCAUCGAUCUAUUCUCUAACCUUUGAUGAGUUUCAAAGCACUAUGGGUGGAAUAGGCAAAGAUUUUGGGUCUAUGAACAUGGAUGAGUUGUUGAAGAACAUUUGGAGUGCUGAAGAAACUCAAACAAUGGCUUUUUACAGUGGUGGCCUGGACGCAUAUGGAGGGCUACAAAGGCAAGGGUCUUUGACUUUGCCAAGGACGCUAAGCCAGAAGACUGUUGAUGAGGUUUGGAAAGAUAUUUCAAAGGAGUAUUCAAUAGGGAAAGAUGGGAUUGGAACUGCAGCAGGGACUAAUCAUGUGCCCCAAAGGUACCAAACAUUAGGGGAGAUGACUUUGGAAGAGUUCUUGGUGAAGGCUGGUGUGGUAAGAGAGGACACCCAAUUUGCUGGGAAGGAUAAUAAUGUUAAUGGAGGGUUCUUUGAUGGGUUUCAACAAGGUGGUAGAACUCCAAAUUUCAUGGGAAAUAGGCUUUCUGAAGUUGGUUUUCAGGCUUCUAAUUUGCCUUUGAAUGUUAAUGGAGUUAAAUCAAACCAGCACCAGUUACCUCAGCAGCAACAACCAAUUUUUCCUAGGCAACCUGCUGUAGGAUUUGGAAUUCAGAUGCCUUUACAAAGUGGUGGUCAGUUGGGGAGUCCUGGAAAUAGAGGGGGAAUUACUGGGAUGGGGGAUCAGGGACCACCUAAUGGUCUUAUUCAGGGUGGAAAGAUGGGGAUGGUUGGUUUAGGAGGGCCAGUCAGUGUUGCAACUGGAUCACCUGCUAACCACUUCUCAUCAGAUGGGAUAGGGAAGAGUAGUGCAGAUACUUCCUCUGUCUCGCCGGUUCCUUAUGUGUUAAAUGGAAGUUCUAGGGGUAGGAAAUGCAGUGCUGUGGAGAAGGUUGCCGAGAGACGGCAAAGGAGAAUGAUAAAGAACAGAGAAUCUGCUGCAAGAUCUCGAGCUCGAAAGCAGGUGACUAUAUGUCUUAUUUACUUCAUUCUAGUGUAAGAUAGGCGAUUUAGAGUAUGCAUUGUUAAUCAUCUUUGAACUCAAUAAUAUCGGUCUGCAUAUAUGUCUCAAAAGAUUUUGAACUCUUCUUUUAAUACACUUGAAGCAACAUGAUAACCAAAUUUCGUCUCUUAUUACGGAUUAAUGAGUAUUACAAACCAUUGACCUUGUGCUUUUAUCAUCUAUGACAUGCUGCAUGCCUGCAUCUCAAACUUCAUGAAAGAUUAUGCGGCAGUGUGGUAAUGUGAUAGCAAUCUGACAUGAGAAGAAAGAUUUUGACAAGUCAAGGUCAUGAGCAGUUAUAAGGAUUCGUAUUGCGGGGUAACGGAGCAUUUGUUUCUACAUGAGAAGUACGAAGCUGUAUGAUAUUAUAAGAAUCAAUAAAACCAUUGAUUAAGGUUGACAUUCCUUGACCUAGUUCAUUUUGUUAUAAACAUGGCGAAGCAAAACGGUUCUAUCCUAAAAUAACUGGCUUAUACUACGGAGUUGGAAGCAAAGCUUGCGAAGCUAAAAGAGGAGAACGAAGAAUUGCGGAAGAAACACGCAGAAUUAAUGGAAAUGCAGAAAAAUCAGGUCAUGGAGAUGAACAUGCAGCAAGGACCUAAGAAGCAAUGUUUGCGAAGAA